UACGUAGGGUGCAAGCGUUGUUCGGAAUUAUUGGGCGUAAAGCGCGUGUAGGCGGCUUUGCAAGUCGGGUGUGAAAGCCCUCAGCUCAACUGAGGAAGUGCGCCCGAAACUGCAGAGCUUGAGUACCGGAGAGGGUGGCGGAAUUCCCCAAGUAGAGGUGAAAUUCGUAAGAUAUGGGGAGGAACACCGGUGGGCGAAGGCGG
rnacentral:rRNA from 1 species